UACGGGAGGCAGCAGUGGGGAAUAUUGCACAAUGGGCGCAAGCCUGAUGCAGCCAUGCCGCGUGUAUGAAGAAGGCCUUCGGGUUGUAAAGUACUUUCAGUCGUGAGGAAGGUGUUAAGGUUAAUAACCUUAGCAAUUGACGUUAGCGACAGAAGAAGCACCGGCUAACUCCGUGCUAGCAGCCGCGGUAAUACGGAGGGUGCGAGCGUUAAUCGGAAUUACUGGGCGUAAAGGGCACGCAGGCGGUUAAUUAAGUUGGAUGUGAAAUCCCCGGGCUUAACCUGGGAAUGGCAUUCAAGACUGGUUAGCUAGAGUCUUGUAGAGGGGGUAGAAUUCCAUGUGUAGCGGUGAAAUGCGUAGAGAUGUGGAGGAAUACCGGUGGGCGAAGGCGGCCCCUGGGACAAAGACUGACGCUCAUGUGCGAAAGCGUGGGGAGCAAACAGGGAUUAGAUACC
rnacentral:rRNA from 1 species